GACGAACGCUGGCGGCGUGCUUAACACAUGCAAGUCGAACGGUAAGGCCCUUCGGGGUACACGAGUGGCGAACGGGUGAGUAACACGUGGGUGAUCUGCCCUGCACUUCGGGAUAAGCCUGGGAAACUGGGUCUAAUACCGGAUAGGACCACUGCCUGCAUGGGUGGUGGUGGGAUGCUUUUGCGGUGUGGGAUGGGCCCGCGGCCUAUCAGCUUGUUGGUGGGGUGAUGGCCUACCAAGGCGACGACGGGUAGCCGGCCUGAGAGGGUGACCGGCCACACUGGGACUGAGAUACGGCCCAGACUCCUACGGGAGGCAGCAGUGGGGAAUAUUGCACAAUGGGCGCAAGCCUGAUGCAGCGACGCCGCGUGAGGGAUGACGGCCUUCGGGUUGUAAACCUCUUUCGGCACCGACGAAGCGCAAGUGACGGUAGGUGCAGAAGAAGGACCGGCCAACUACGUGCCAGCCGCCGCAGUAA
rnacentral:rRNA from 1 species